rnacentral:rRNA from 1 species
GGAAUCUUCCACAAUGGACGCAAGUCUGAUGGAGCAACGCCGCGUGAGUGAAGAAGAUCUUCGGAUCGUAAAACUCUGUUGUUAGAGAAGAACACGAGUGAGAGUAACUGUUCAUUCGAUGACGGUAUCUAACCAGCAAGUCACGGCUAACUACGUGCCAG